GGCAAUCUUUACCAAGGUACAACCUCAGUGCUUGGUUGUCUCGACCAAGUCUGUCCCCAAACAAUUUGAUUUGCUGGUUAUAAGCAUUAAACUUUCAAAUAGCUCUUUGUUGACUAUUGCUGGGUGUUAUCGUCCACCAACAGCACCGGCCUGUACCCUAAAUGCCCUAAGCUCUCUCCUGGCCCCUUACACUAAAGUCUGAAUUUGUCCUGCUAGGUGACCUAAACUGAGACAUGCUUAAACCACCUGACCAGGUCCUAAAGCCAUGGGAUUCCAUAAAUCUUUCUCGGAUUAUCACCAAUCCCACAAGGUAUGACACCAAACACCCAGAAAAGGCUACUCUCCUUGAUGUUAUCCUCACAAAUAAUCCUGAUGGGUAUCAGUCUGGUGUUUUCUGUAAUGACCUUAGUGAUCACUAUUUUACAGCCUGUGUUUGUAAUGGCUGCUCAGUGAAACGACCUGUCCUGAUUUGUCAUAGACACCUGCUAAAAAUCUUUAAUGAGCAAGCCUUCCUUCGUGACCUGGCCUCUGUAAAAUGGUAUAGAAUUAGCUUGAUCCCUUCUGUCAAAGACACUUGGACCUUCUUUUUUAUAUUUUCAGUGGUAUUGUUAACAAACAUGCCCCAUAAAGAUAAUGAGAAUUUAAAAACGGGUUCAGCCCCUGGAUCGACCGUGAUCUAUAAGUGCACUAUCCGGAAGGCCAAAGUUAGUUACUUUAAGAAGCAGUACUCUCUUUGUGGGUCUAACCCUAAGAAGUUCUGGAAAACGGUUAAAGACCUGAAGAAUAAACCCUCCUCCUCACAGUUGCCCAUGGUUGUUACUGACAAGGAUCACAUGGCUAAGCUCUUUAAACACCACUUCAUUAAGUCAGGAUUCCUAUUUGACACAGCCAUGCCUCCUUGCCUGUCCAACAUUUCCUCAUCUCCUACCCGUUCUCAUGUGACUAGCCCCGAUGCUCUUCCCUUUUUUCCCUGCCCCACUAAAGUUUCUCCCUGCAGGUGGUCACUGAGUCU
rnacentral:lncRNA from 13 species